rnacentral:rRNA from 1 species
GACGAACGCUGGCGGCGUGCUUAACACAUGCAAGUCGAACGGUAAGGCCCUUCGGGGUACACGAGUGGCGAACGGGUGAGUAACACGUGGGUGAUCUGCCCUGCACUUCGGGAUAAGCCUGGGAAACUGGGGCUAAUACCGGAUAGGACUCCUGGCUUCAUGGUUGGGGGUGGAAAGCUUUUGCGGUGUGGGAUGGGCCCGCGGCCUAUCAGCUUGUUGGUGGGGUAAUGGCCUACCAAGGCGACGACGGGUAGCCGGCCUGAGAGGGUGUCCGGUCACACUGGGACUGAGAUACGGCCCAGACUUCUACGGGAGGCAGCAGUGGGGAAUAUUGCACAAUGGGCGCAAGCCUGAUGCAGCGACGCCGCGUGAGGGAUGACGGCCUUCGGGUUGUAAACCUCUUUCAGCUAUGACGAAGCGCAAGUGACGGUAGUAGCAGAAGAAGGACCGGCCAACUACGUGCCAGCAGCCGCUGAAA